UACGUAGGGUGCAAGCGUUGUCCGGAAUUAUUGGGCGUAAAGAGCUCGUAGGCGGUUCGUCGCGUCGGCUGUGAAAACCUGAGGCUCAACCUCAGGCCUGCAGUCGAUACGGGCGGACUUGAGUACUGCAGGGGAGACUGGAAUUCCUGGUGUAGCGGUGAAAUGCGCAGAUAUCAGGAGGAACACCGGUGGCGAAGGCGGGUCUCUGGGCAGUAACUGACGCUGAGGAGCGAAAGCGUGGGGAGCAACAGG
rnacentral:rRNA from 1 species